rnacentral:rRNA from 1 species
AACGUAGGUUCCGAGCGUUAUCCGGAUUUACUGGGCGUAAAGCGCGUUCAGGCGGUUUGGCAAGUCGGGCAUGAAAUCUCUCGGCUCAACCGGGAGAGGUUGUCCGAUACUGCUGGACUUGAGGGCAGUAGAGGGUGGUGGAAUUCCGGGUGUAGUGGUGAAAUGCGUAGAUAUCCGGAGGAACACCAGUGGCGAAAGCGGCCACCUGGACUGCACCUGACGCUGAAACGCGAAAGCUAGGGUAGCGAACGGG